rnacentral:rRNA from 1 species
GAUGAACGCUGGCGGCGUGCCUAAUACAUGCAAGUCGAGCGAACAGAUGAGGAGCUUGCUCCUCUGACGUUAGCGGCGGAAGGGUGAGUAACACGUGGAUAACCUACCUAUAAGACUGGGAUAACUUCGGGAAACCGGAGCUAAUACCGGAUAAUAUAUUGAACCGCAUGGUUCAAUAGUGAAAGACGGUUUUGCCGUCACUUAUAGAUGGAUCCGCGGUACAUUAGGUAGUUGGUAAGGUAACGGCUUAACAAGGCAACGAUGCGUAGCCGACCUGAGAGGAUGUCCAGCCACAAUAGAACGGAGACACGGUCCAGACACCAACGGGAGGCCGCAGUGGGGAAUUUUGGACAAUGGGAGAAAGCUUGAGGAAGACAUCCCGGGUGGGUGAAGAAGGCUUUCGGAUUGUAAAGCCUUUUUGUUGGGAAAGAAAAAUAGUAUAUUAAAAUCCCCAUGUUUUGACGAUACCAAACGAAAAGGCCGCGGCUAACUUCGUG